rnacentral:rRNA from 1 species
ACUACCGAUAACCGUUUGAGAGAAGGGAUGACACAGUAGGAUAAGCUAAGCACACUGUUGGUUAUGUGUGCCCAAGCAUUGAGGCAGUCAAAGCAGGCAAAUCCGCUUUGAUAAUGCUGGGAUGUGAUGGGGAGCGAAAUUUAGUAGCGAAGUAGCUGAUUUCACACUGUCAAGAAAAGUCUCUAUCGAGGUUAAAGGUACCCGUACCGCAAACCGACACAGGUGGGUGAGGAGAGUAUCCUAAGGCCAGCGAGAGAACUGUUGUUAAGGAACUCGGCAAAAUGACCCCGUAACUUAGGGAUAAGGGGUGCCACCAUCCGGUGGCCGCAGAGAAUAGGCCCAAGCGACUGUUUACCAAAAACAUAGGUUUCUGCUAAGUCGCAAGACGAUGUAUAGGAGCUGACGCCUGCCCGGUGCUGGAAGGUUAAGGGGAUCUGUUAGAGCAAUCGAAGCAGUGAACUUAAGCCCCAGUAAACGGCGGCCGUAACUAUAACGGUCCUAAGGUAGCGAAAUUCCUUGUCGGGUAAGUUCCGACCCGCACGAAAGGCGUAACGAUUUGGGCACUGUCUCAACAACAGACUCGGUGAAAUUGUAAUUCCGGUGAAGAUGCCGGAUACCUGCGACAGGACGGAAAGACCCCAUGGAGCUUUACUGUAGCUUGACAUUGGGUCUUGGUACUACAUGUACAGGAUAGGUGGGAGGCUUUGAAACCAGGACGCCAGUUUUGGCGGAGCCAUCCUUGGGAUACCACCCUUGUAGUACUGGGACUCUAACCAUAGGCCAUGAAUCUGGUCUUGGGACACUGUCAGGUGGGCAGUUUGACUGGGGCGGUCGCCUCCCAAAAGGUAACGGAGGCGCUCAAAGGUUCUCUCAGUACGGUCGGAAAUCGUACGUAGAGUGUAAAGGCAAAAGAGAGCUUGAUUGCAAGACAUACAGGUCGAGCAAGGAUGAAAAUCGGACUUAGUGAUCCGGUGGUUCUGCGUGGAAGGGCCAUCGCUCAACGGAUAAAAGCUACCCUGGGGAUAACAGGCUUAUCUCCCCCAAGAGUCCACAUCGACGGGGAGGUUUGGCACCUCGAUGUCGGCUCAUCACAUCCUGGGGCUGUAGUAGGUCCCAAGGGUUGGGCUGUUCGCCCAUUAAAGUGGUACGCGAGCUGGGUUCAGAACGUCGUGAGACAGUUCGGUCCCUAUCCGUCGCAGGCGUAGGAAAUUUGAGAAGACCUGUCCUUAGUACGAGAGGACCGGGAUGGACG